GUCAAAACUAGUAUAGACAAGGGGAAUUUGACUGUUUAAUUAAAACAAAGCAUUGUGAUGGUCCCUACACAUGUUGAUGCAAUGUGAUUUAUACCUAGUUCUUUGCAUGUGAAAGUGAAUAAAUUCAACCAAAUGUGGGUAAAUGACAGGAGGAACUAUGACUCUCUUAAGGUAGUUAGAUGCCUAGUCAUCUAAUUAGUGACAUGUGUGAAUGGAUCAACAAUAUUCCCAUUGUCUCUAGCUACUAUCUAUAGAAACCACAUCCAAUGGAUAUUAG
rfam:Picea glauca, whole genome shotgun sequence.